AACUAUGGCACAUGAUGAUUUAACAUCCAUACUGUAAGAUUUGUACGCACAUACUUAUUUCACAUAUGUGAUUAAUUUUUCACCAAUGCCCAGCUCAGCCCUCCAGCAGUAGAAGAGAGCCAGAUGAACUUCAAAACUCCUGCAUGAUGGCAUAUGGCAUGGAUGUAUGGGAACUGGUGAAUCACAGCCUGAACCUCUGAUUGACCACCUGAGGUGAGCGCUGAGUCAGCUGCAGGGGCACAGGUGAACGCAAUUUCACCUGAGUGACCAGAAGGGAUGGAGCUUGGCUCCACCCCUCCUAGACCCCAUUUAAGGGCUGACUCCCAAGGAGGAAAUUUUUCUAUCUUGAGGUCUCUUCUCUUGGAGUUCUUCUGUGAGCCCAGGACAUGGCCCCCCUUUUGAUACUGGAAAGCUGUCAGGUCUCCCCGGAACCUUCCCAGAUCUCCCAGUCUCCUGGAUCACUAAGGAGGGGUUUCAGGCCAGCAAAAAGAACUUUGCUUCAGGAGAACCUGGGUUAGAGAUGGAGCUGAGUGAGGCUGGCUGUUUCCAUGAAGCCCAGACAACGUUUGCAUCACUCCUUGGAGCUGUGGGCCACAAGCUGCUUUGGGAACUUUGGCAGUGUUGUGUGGAUCCUGCCGUGUUCUUACUUUACUUGGAACAAUUAAACAGAUUUAAACUAAUUUUCUCUCCCACGCUGUGCAGCCUAUCCAACUAAAUUACUGAGGAACUUUCUCCUAAUCUGCACAAGAACCAUCAGAAAACCCUAGCACUUCAGAAAAGCAACAAGGAACUACCUUGAGAGACUGUUUUGCACAUCUAUCUUCCCUAGGACCUGUAUAAUUUUGUUUGCAAAUUGUCUGACAUUUUUCUAAAAGCUCAGGUUGUGGACAUCCCGCAUCCUCUCUGCCGUACUCUUCCAGUGUACGUCUAUGUCCACACAUACAAAAAAACCAAUUGUUCCUCCAAUCUGCUCUCUUCCAUAUUCCCCAUGAUGACUCCUCAUUUCAGUGCCUGAAUCUGGUGAUGGUCCUCCACUCAAAGUCUCAUGAAAACUUGAUAUUUUCCACAUUACAGUUCUUAUGACUUGCAAGAUACACCCUUGCUUAGACUUGCUAGUAGGAUUUGUAGCAUUUUAUAUAGCAACAUGAAACAAGAAGGUGCAAGUGAAUUUGCAGAAGUUAACACACAACAAGGUUUCAGAAAAAGCAAUAGUAAAACAUCUGAAUAAUCAAAACCUUCCUUUAAAUGGGCAAUUUGUAAUAAAUUAAAAUAGUUAUAAAUUAAAAUAAUCUCAAAAUAUUACAUGGGAUAUUUUGAGGAUGUGGUUGCAAAGGGUUCACUUUUGUAAGCUGUCUCACCUUUCUGAUGAAUGACUUCUGUGCUCUCAUACAACAAAGCACUGUGUAUUCCUUGGGUUCAGACAAACACCGUGGCAGAACUGUGGUGCAGAGGACAAUGCAUUGAAUUUUACUGGACCAGAACAAGGCAGUUAAAUAAACUUUCAGCCUCUGCUUUA
ensembl:lncRNA